AGUUAGCUCUUAUCUCAAAACUAUUUUCUUUCAUGUUACUAUUUUCUCAAAACUAUUGUAACAAAAAAGUUAAAAGGAACAAAAUUUUCAUCACAAAAUUCCUAAGAGAAAGAUCAUAUCUAAAUUGAUAGAUCCUUGGUUCUUCUAUGUAGUAAGCUCAUGUCAACUUAUCUCUCCCUCUAAUAUCAAUUCCUCCCCCCUCUAAUUAAUAACCACUUCUUCAACAAUACUUACUACUUUUGAUUCCUAAUUCAACGAGGAGCUUUAUUUGGUUCCUAAUUCAACGACUGUAAUUUCUUUGAUUAAUGAGGUCCCUUGGCCGUUGUUGCUUCAAUAAUUGCAAGCCAAGCAAUUAUUUCAGCAUCGUUCUCCAUGGUAUCGCAAGCCUUAAGUAUGGGUUGUUUCCCAAAGCUUAAGGUUAUAUAUACAUACAUCCACAAAACAUGAAGGCCAAAUUUACAUUAUUGUGGUCAAUUACAUGUUUAUGGGUGCAUGUAUUGCGAUUACCUAUAUCUUUCGGCCAUCCGAAAAACUGAGUAAUGCUUAUGGGGUUACAAUAGCCUGUGAUAUGGCUAUUACAACAUUUCUAGUCUCAGUUGUCAUGCUAAUUGUGUGGAAGAAGAGCUUUUGGAUAGUUGCUCUCUUUUUUUUUUUUUUUUUUUGGUUACAGAUAGUUGCUCUCUUUACUUAAGAAUAUUAUAAAGCAGUUGUAGUCUUGUAGAUGAAGAAAACAGCAACCAAAUUCGUAACAAAACCUUCCAAAAAAGAAAUGAAAUUCUCAUGUUCCCCUAUAACUUUGUUUGUUGGGUCUUUAAUUAGCACCUAUUUAAUGCUCAUAGAAAUAGAAAUCAUUAAUAACUUGUAACUCAAGCAGAGACACAUAGAGAGAGUGUGCUGAGAGAGAGACUUUUGUUGUGUCAUUUUUAUCUUAUACAGUUAAUUAACUUCUCCAAUGUCUAUUGAAAUUAAUUCUAUAAGCAUCGAGAAAGGUGAAAAUGACCACUCCUCCAAGCUGAGAUGGACGACUACACUCUCCUUAGCAUUUCAAAGCACAUUUCCCCAUGGCAUCGAUCACAUGGAUGAUCUCCUAGGUGUAUUGUCCAUGAUCUAUUGGACAAUCUUGUUCAUCCCUGCAUCAAGUAUCUUUGGAUUACAACAUUUCUAGUCUCAGUUGUCAUGCUAAUUGUGUGGAAGAAGAGCUUUUGGAUAGUAGCUCUCUUUGCUUUACUAUUCAGCUUCAUUAAAUUGACUUAUCAUCAUUGAUGGUAAAGUUCACAGAGGGUGGCUUAGUUUCCAGCCUAUUUAUCAGCCUACCUUGCCUUCACUCAGUUGUUGUCUUAGUGCCCGUUUGGGCCUCCUUAAUUUUGUCUUAAAAGUUAUUUUAAGAAUAAAGUUGAAAAUAAAAGCUUUAAACUUAAAG